UGUUCUCUCCAUACUCUAAUUGUAGAAAGCACAAUUUGGUAAAUCAUUAAGACAAAAUUAUUGAAUAGGACUUUACUCCUAAAGAGUAAGAAUUAGAUUACAGAACAUGAACAUUGCAGAUGCCUCAACUACUGCCCAAUGUACAGAGUAAAUUCAAUCAAGCGCGUGGGUUACGCUGUUUUGAGUGGAAGGAAAUAAAAAGUGUUAGUUAUAAAAGAUAUGCGAAUUACU